rnacentral:tRNA from 1 species
CAUUAGAUGACUGAAAGUAAGUACUGGUCUCUUAAACCACACAAUAAUAGGCUAACAACUAUUUCUAAUGA